AUAUUUUUAUCGGUCUUUUGGCUAAGAUAAAAUGUAAUAUUUGUUCUUAUCAGUUUAAUAUCUGAUAUAUGGAUCAUUCACAUGAUACUAAAUUUAUUUUUUUAUUUUUU
rnacentral:snRNA from 1 species